UUUUUACAAGGGUAAUAUUGGAAGAUAAAGAAACACGUAUAAAAGGAAAAAGUAAAGAACAUUACUCCCUCCUUCCUUUGAGAGCUGGUAACUCACUACUCCCUUAUUCCACACCGGUACGAAGCUCCUAGCAACAAUGGCGACAAAAGACGGCGACGUUUUGAUGCUAGAAGCGCCGCCCGAGUCUCGGCCGACGGUAUCGAGUAGUGCAGAAGUAAUAGAUGCUUUGCCGUACAUUGACGAGGAGUACGGUGAUCCUAACGUGAAAGAAGAGGUAGACCGUUUAAUCGAAGAAGAGAUGCGCCGCAGCUCCAAAAAACCUUCCGAUUUCCUCAAAAAUCUACCUCCUCUUCGUAAAUUCAACUUUGAGAAUCACCCGAUGCUUGCGAGGGAAUAUGAGAGGGUGAGAGCUGGAAAGCCUCCAGGACAGAUAGAUACUUCACGAUACGGACUUGAGGUGCCGCCCGUGAACAAACGUAAUGAUGAAACUGCAUGGAAGCAAGCGCUUCAAAAAGCUCAGCGUUUACUACAGCAUCAAGUAAUAAGGCUAGAAAAUCUGGAUCUAAUGUCAAAGCAUGGUUCUGAUGUGUGGAAGCUGUAUAAUCAACAAUUGGAGGCAUUUUUAGCCAGAAUGCAAUCACAAGCUGUUGAACUGAAGAAAAUGAUAGAAACAGUAAACAGGGAAAGGAAAUAUCAUCAGCAAAUGACUGCAUAUGAGCUUAAUGCGUUGUCCAUGCAAUGGAGAGAGCUCUGUCUGAAAAAUAUAGAAAUCCAAUCUGCAUGUGGGGAACUAGAAGACCAAAUAGAACAUCUGAAGAAGGAGGCUCAAGAAAGGGGCUGGAAUUUGGAGGCUAAUGUUGAGAAUGGCAAAAUGUUGUAUGCUGAAUCAUGAGGGUGCAUGCUAGGUCUUAUAAAGCCUUGUGGAGGAAGACAAUUCUAUUAGAUUGGGUUCGGGGGGGAUUUAUCUCGAAUCAUGAAGAAUGUGUAGGUACCCAGUAAUCAUGAAGAUUUGCCGCUGCUGGACUUGGAUGGAGAAGUUGGUCAAAGAUUUGAAGAGCCAUUGCUUUGCGAUCAUGGUGAGGAAUGUGUCCAAUGUGGAAAAAGUCACUGCUUGCCUCUGUAUCUCCCAUUACUCUCUGCUUGUGUUCAAUUCCUUACAGCUAUCUGACGAAUAGUUAAUAUAUGCCAGUCAAUCAGUGAUUUAAAGUUUGAUCUUCUUUUUAUUUUUCCCCUUGGAUUCCUUUUUGUUGAAUGAGAAAAGGAAACAAAGCAA